GACGAACGCUGGCGGCGUGCCUAACACAUGCAAGUCGAGCGAAUGAAGUUCCUUCGGGAAUGGAUUUAGCGGCGGACGGGCGAGUAACACGUGGGCAACCUGCCUCAUAGAGGGGAAUAGCCUUCCGAAAGGGAGAUUAAUACCGCAUAAGAUUGUAGUAUCGCAUGAUACAGCAAUUAAAGGAGCAAUCCGCUAUGAGAUGGGCCCGCGGCGCAUUAGCUAGUUGGUGAGGUAACGGCUCACCAAGGCGACGAUGCGUAGCCGACCUGAGAGGGUGAUCGGCCACAUUGGGACUGAGACACGGCCCAGACUCCUACGGGAGGCAGCAGUGGGGAAUAUUGCACAAUGGGGGAAACCCUGAUGCAGCAACGCCGCGUGAGUGAUGACGGCCUUCGGGUUGUAAAGCUCUGUCUGCAGGGACGAUAAUGACGGUACCUGAGGAGGAAGCCACGGCUAACUACGU
rnacentral:rRNA from 1 species